rnacentral:tRNA from 1 species
GGAGAGUAGAUAAAUAUUGGUUUGUUAUGCUUGUCUGCUAAGCAAGUUCACGGUCCUCGUGAUAAAGGUUCGAUUCCUUUACUCUCCGCCA